UUCCACUCUCCAUUCAGGGUUUCUAGACAUCCAAUCUGGAAAUUCAGCCUCAUCACUCAGUUUGAAGUCAGUCUUGACUGAAUGUGUAAGAGUCCUGUCUUCUGAAGAAAAUGAAGUUUGGGCUGAGUUUUAUUGUCUUCAAACCAGUGUUGUAUGAUCCUGAGACACACCAUACCCACCAAACUCCAGUUGUCAAACCCUCACCUUACUUUAUUGGCUCAUUUAGCAGGAUUUUUGUCAUAGUUUUGUGACAGGGAACACUUUGCUGAUUUUCCUGCGAUUUUGGAAGAGAACAUUUAAACUAAAGGAAUUAUUUCAAGAGGAAAUUGGACCCUACUUUAUGACAACUCCACUUCCUUGUCUGGAGGCCCACUUCAUAUUGAAAAGAUCCCAAGAGACAUAUCAAUACUCCCUAUCCAAACAAAUUCUAUAAAUGCAUAGCAGGACUGUCCCUAGGAGAAUGGCAAUGGGUCUAUUGACUUCCUUUGGUCCUCUGAUCAGCCCUACAGCCAGAUGAGUACCACAUAUCUCUCUUCCUCUUCAAAAAUAUACUGUAUCAGACAACACAUUAGGUACUGUCGACUCAAGAUAACCUAAAAAUUGUUCUUACCCUCAAAGAACUCAGAAGAGUCCUUCUGGUUCCAACUGUUCAAGUCUUCUUUUUCUUUUCCCCAAAUUUUUGCAAUUCAGAUCCCCAAAUAGUUUGUAAACUAGGAGAAAUUUAGGUAAAACCUAAUGCAAUAUACUUAAUUUCCCACUUGACUCCUAUGUUGGGAAGAAUUUAUGGGACUCUAGGUUAAUUCUUGGGCAACUCAACAUUAAAUCAACCUAGCUUUUAGUAUGGAUCGUUGCCUGACCCUUGAAAGCAGGUUUCUAUUUCCUAAAUCUUUUCCAGUAACAGGAUUCACAUUCUUAUCAUCUUCCCAGUUGUCUCAUCUUUCAAAGAAUAGACUCUCUUUCACUUCCUAAGGCCAAUAGAUUGUGAACCUCCAUCAGCCUACUAUCAGGCACUUUUGACCUAAUGAUCGAAAUUACUUCCUGUCUUAGCUGUCUUGGGGAAAUGCUAAGAGUGGUAUGGCUGGCUAUUUUUAAAAUUUCCUUUGUAUCAGUGCAUUUCUGAAACUUUGUGUGUGUAUAUGUCUGUCUAGAUGUCUGUGUGUUCACCUUGCUUCUGAUUCACUGAGGUUCUUAUUUCAACUAGUUUACUUUUGCAAAUCUAUGAAUGUUCUGGUAUCACUCCUUGAAUUUUUUUCUUUUUCACUCCACCCUCCUGUUUGUUGUCUGGGAAUAUAUAUAUAGUCUAGACUAUUUAUCAUAUAGUUCACUGAAGUAUACUGUUCAUUUUUUCAGUCUUUUUUCCCCUCAGGGUUUCAUUUUGAAUAAUUUUAUCACUAUGUCUUCAUCUCCCUUGAUCUUUUCAUGUGCAGGUCUAUUGUGCUAUAAUCCAAUCCAGGGAAAUUUUUAAGUGUUGUAAUUUUUAUUUCUGUAAAUUCAAUUUGAGUCUUUUCUAUGUCAUCCAAUUUCCCUCCUCAUUAUGUACCUUAAAAUUCCUGAACAUAUUUAUAACAGUAGUAGAGCCAUAGCAAAGGACAAUUAGCUUAUCAAGUUGAUUUAAUGUAGACUGAAUUUGGAAAUCAGUAGAGUUUAUGAAAUAAUCUAGGAGGGAAUAAUGUCUUGUAGCACAAGGAGGAGUAGGAGAGGAAAGAAGGGAGUCGUAUGAAGAGAGACAGGGAAAGUACAUUCUACAUGAGUAGAUGAUUAAUAGUAUGAGGGUCAAAGGAGAAGAAAAAUUCAUCACUGACUCUAAUGUUUUAAACCUCAGUAACGGCAAAAAGGCUGAUUCCUUUGUCUAUCUAUCUAUGUAGGAAAGCCAAGAGGAAGAGUAACUUUAGUAGGAAAGAUAAUGAGUUUUAACAUUUGAAAUGCUGUUCAAGAAGCAGGAACAUAGGAAUUCCCAUUGUGGCUCAGCAGUAAUGAACCUGACUAAUAUCCACGGGGACAUAGGUUUGAUCCCUAGCUCCACUCAGUGUGUUAAGAAUCUGGUGUUGCUGUAAGCUACAGUGUAGGUCUCAGAUGCGGCUUGUAUCUGGCUUUGCUGUGGCUGUGGCGUAGGGCGGCAGCUGCACUUCUGAUUUGACCCUCUAGCCUGGGAACUUUCAUAUGCCGCAAGUGCAGCCCUUAAAAAAAAUAAUAAUUAGCAGGAACAUAAAGUAAGACUUCGGAAACUUGGGUCAGGACCUUUAGAGAAAAGAGGUCACAGCUGAUGUCAAAGUGGAUAAAAUCACAAAAGGAGAGAAUCUAGGCUGAAGACAGAACCUUUGGUGACACUAAGUAUUCAAGAAAAAACUGCAAAAUACAUAAAUUUUUUUAUGAAUGGGAUACAAUGUGUUUGUAGACAUUUUGGACCAAAAUCUGUGUAUAAAAUAACUACAGACACAGAAAAUGUUAUAUAAUUUUCUAAAAGCUUCCUGAAAUUGGAACUAAUGACUAAAUGGUAACAAUCAAAAAACCCAAAAAGGUUUGAGUAAAACAAAGGCAUGCUUACUCGGUUUCCAAUUGUUUUAAAGUUAAUUAUUUGACAGCUGGGCCUAUUUUCAAACAGAGUUUAUUCUUUCCUCCCAGUGGGAGAGAAAACACAUGUUAAUAAGAAAAUUGUAUACAUGAUGCUAUUACAUUGUUACUCCAAAUAUCCUACUGUUUAAUAGGUGAUUUAGUGUUUAAGAAAAGCUAUUUGUUAAGUUGUCAAAAGUGUAAUAAUUUUAAAACCCUAUUUUAAAUUAUUUUAAAGCCUUAUUUAUACAAAAGAUAUUUUGAUGCCUGAUUUCCCCAUCUAAGUGGAGUCUUGAUGUAAUACAAUGUUGUGGGAGUGAAAAAAAAAAAAAACUUAUAUUCCUGGUGUUUGCUCAGGAAAGAGGAAAAUAAACCUUCUCUCCACCCAUGACCAACACACACAUACAUUUAAAGACAGAAGCACAAGGGCCCUGACCUUCAAUUUUGCCUAAGAAAUUUAUCUGAGACCUGGGAGGUUCUGCAAGAAAAACUGCCAUUUCAAAGGCUCUGUUUAUUGCUAAAGAUGGAACCUUGAAAUCAUUUUUGAUGGUAGAAAAUGCUUUUCUUUAGGAAAAUACAGUUAAAAAAGACUUGAGUCAGAUCAAGCAAAAGACAAAUACAAAAUGGCAAAGUUCGGAACAAUAGGGAGUUUCUAAGGCUCUGAAUACUAAUGUAACAUGGUUGUUUUAUUUGAAGAAUUUUUAAAAGAUAUUUUUAGUUUUUCUUGGUGUCCUAGAGACCAGCUAAUUGAAGGAAACUGGAAGUGGAUUAAAGAGGAUAUAUGUACACACUGUGGUAAAUGGAAUGAUUGGCCAACGGGGACCUGCUGUAUAGAGCAGGGGACUUUACCCAAUAUUUUGUGAUCAUCUAUAUGAGAAAAGAAUCUGAAAAAGAAUGGUUUUGUGUAUAUGUAUAACUGAAUCACUUUGUUGUACAGCAGAAAUUAUCACGAUGUAAAUCAACUAUACUUCAAUAAAACCUUUUUAAAAAUUAAAAUAAUAAACACAUAAAUGAAAUAAAAGAUAAAAACAACAGAAAAAAAAGAGGAUAUGAAGGAAAUGAUAGCUAUCUCUUGAUUCCUAGGAAAGGAAUUCUCAUAAAGGUAGCCAAGGUUUUUUGGGGAAAAAAUAAAACAGACAAUUUGCCAGUUAGGAAUUCCCUAUGCCAGACUUAGGAAAAGUUACCUAAUAUAAAGUAUAUUGCAUUCUAUAAUUACUCUUUUACCUCCAUCCUUUAGUACAAGUGGCUAAUCAGUGACAUUCUAGUAUCAGUUUAGUUUAAGUCAUAGGAAGAGGAAAGAGGAAUGUGUUCAUUUGGAGAUGUGGAAAGCCUAAGAAGUAGAAACCCAAAUCAAUUACAUCAAACAAUAGUUUUCAAACAUUGGUCAGAAGAGAAUACUGACAACGGAGAUAGGCAAACAAUGCAAAAGAAAAUGCAAGGGAUGCAGAAGUACCAAAAAUGACUUCAAAAAUGCAAAAUACGUAGCAAUCAUACUCCCUGAUAACAAGGUCUAUUAUAAACUGCAGUAAGAACUUUCCAAGACAAACACAAACAUCAAUAAAACAGAAUACUCUAAAAAUGGAUCUACAUAUAUAUGGUCAAUUACUUUUUGGCAAAGGUGCAAAGGCGAUAUAGUGGAGAAAACAAUCUUCUUGGUAAUAGUGCUAAAACUACUGGACAUUCAUGUGCAAAAAAUUUACCUCAAAUUAAACACAAAAAUUGACUUAAAAUCAAUGGUAGGUGCAAACAUCAAACUAAAAACUAUAAAGAUCUUAGAAGAAAGAAUAAGGGAAAAUAGCUGUGACUUCGAGUUAAGCAAAGAUUUCUUGGAUAGAUCACUAAUGAUUAGAUUUGUAAAUUACACAAUUAAAUUACAAUUAAAAGGUCAAAUUAAAAUGUAAUUGUAUUUUUAAUUUGUAAUUUAAAAAUUCAUCUUUUUGAGAGGGUCUAUAAGAAAAUAUACAGAUAAGCUACAGACUAGGAGAAAAUAUUUGGAAAAUACCUAUCUGAUUGUGACAGAUAGUUUCAUGUGUCAAUUUGACUAGGCUACAGUACCUAGUUAUUUAAUUAAACACUUGGGUGGCACUGAGAAGAUAUUUUGUAGAUAGGGUUAAUAUCUACAAUCAGCUGACUGUAUGUAAAGGAGAUUAUUUUUGAUAAUCUGAGUUGGGUCACAUGCAAUCAGUUGAAAGACUAAAAGCAAAACAGAUUUCCCUGAAGAAUAAAUUCUGCCUAUAAAAGAGUAAAUUCCACCUCUAACUUUGUUGUUCUCUUUAAGUAUCACAUUGGCUAUUCUGGGUCCUUUGCCUUUCCAUGUGAACUUGGCAAUCAAUUUGUCGGUAUCCACAGAAUAAUGUGCUGGGAUUUUGAUUGAGAUUGUACUGAAUCUAUAGAUUAAAUUGCAAAGAACUGAGAUUUAGACAAUAUUGUAUCUUCCUCCACCUGAACAUGGAACAUCUAUCCAUUUAUUUAAUUUUUAAAAUUUUGUUCAUCAGAGUUUUGUAAUUUUCCUCAGGUAGAUCCUAUAUAUAUUUUCUUGGACUUAUACCUAGUAUUUUAUUUGGGGGGUUGCAAGUAUAAAUGGUAUCGUGUUUUAAUUUCAUAUUUACUUGUUAAUUGCUGGUAUGUAGAAAAGUUAUUGACUUUUGUAUUUUGAUCUUGUUUCCCACAAUCUUUCUAUGAUUUCCAGGUGGGUUUUUGGUUGAUUCUUUCAGAUUUUCUACACAUACGAUCAUGUCAUCUGUGAAGAAAGAUAGUUUUAUUUCUUCCAUCUCAAUCUAUAUACCUUUUAUUUCCUUUUCUUGUCUUAUUGCUGCAGAGACACCAAUACAGUGUUAAGAAAGAGUAGUGAAAGAAGAUAACCUUGCUUUGUACCUGACCUUAGUGUGAAAGCUUUGAAUUUCUCACCAUUAACUAUGAUGUUAGCUGUAGGGUUUUUAUAGAUAUUCUUCAUCAAAUUAAUGAAAUUUCCCUCUCUCUCCUCCUAGUUUACUGAGUUUUUAUCAUGAAUGGUUGUUGGAUUUUGUCAAAUGCUUUUUCUGCAUUUACUGAUAUGACCAUGUGACUUUUUUUUUUUUUUUUGUCUUUCUGCCUUUUCUAGGGCUGCUUCCGCGGCAUAUGGAGGUUCCCAGGCUAGGGGUCUAAUCUGAGCUGUAGCCACCAGCCUACGUCAGAACCACAGCAAUGGAGGAUCCGAGCCGCGUCUGCAACCUUCACCACAGGUCAGGGCAGCGCCGGAUCCUUAACCCACUGAGCAAAGCCAGGGAUCGAACCCGCAACCUCAUGGUUCCUAGUCGGAUUCGUUAACCACUGCGCCACAAUGGGAACUCCAUGACUUUUCUUUAUUAGCUUGUUGAUAUGAUGGAUUAAUGGAUUAAUUGGUUUUCAAAUGUUGAUCCAGGUUUGCAUAUAGGGUACUCCUGGAGUUUUUAAGUCUCAGAGUUUUCCACACUGAGCCUCCAGCAAUUCAUCAACUACAGUUCAAGUUUUCAUAUCCUGGAAAUGUUUUUUUUUUUUUUUUGCCAUUAUUUUGGUAGUGGAUUCAUACAUGGAAUUAUACACUUAAAACUGGUAAAGUUUUGUGAUAGCUAAAUUGCACUUCAAUAAAGUUAAUUUUGAAAAAAAGCCAAGCUAUCCCAGAAAGCUAGAGAAUACAAGUAAAAAGAAAAUUUCAAGUUAUUCUUAGCUCCAUGAUCUACCAGAUUUAUACACACAAAGAUUAAUUUUUAAAAAAUGAAAAAUUCCCUCAAACAAAUAAUACUCAUUUGUAUUCCUUAGUGAACCUACAUUUGGGUUCAUAGAAAUUAAAUACUGAUGCCUGCCACCCAGUAGCAACAAUUUUAGUGUAACUAUCAUUGUACUAUGAUAAUUAAGUUGUUCAAAGGUCAAGCCAAAAAAAAAAAAAAAGGUAAAAUGUUUAUGUUCCUUUCUGGUUUAAAAAAUGGAAUUAUUUUAUAUUAUUUUCUAAUUUUCAUUAAACAUGCACUCCUAAAUUAUGCAGAAAAGGAGAAACAUUUCCAUUUCAGUCUCUUCAAUCACAAAAUUAUGUCAAUAAUACCAUAGUUAAGAAUGUAGACCUUGGAGCCAAAUUAUCUGGAUUCAAAUUUACUUCUAUGGUUAUUAGCUGUUUGACCUAGGGAAAGUUUCUUAACUUUUCUCUACCUCAAUUUCUUCAUUUGUAAAACUGAUAUAGUACUUAUCUCAUAGGGUUGUCAUGUUGGUUAAACGAAUUUAUACUUCAAAACACUUGAAAUUGUUCCUAGUAUACAGUAAGCAUUAAACAAAUGUAGGAAUAUUAUAACUUACUAUCUUCCACUGUCCCUGGACAAUUAAAAGUGUAGUUAUUCAAG
rnacentral:lncRNA from 1 species